UUUAUCUUAGUGUAAAGAGCACAUAAAUUUUUGGUGUUUAAGGUCAAAUGAGAUAACU
rnacentral:tRNA from 1 species